CUGUGAUGGUUCAUGUCAAAGUUUAAUGAACCAUGGCAUUUAACAGACAUUAUUCUUCUUGCAACUGUUGCUAAUAAACUUUUCUGACUUGUAAGCCACAAGACAUAAAAGCCAUUUGCAGAUACAGUAAUAUGUCUGUCCUGAUAGACUGGUUGAAUAUAAAAAACAUUCCAGUUCAGUGGACAGGAGUGUAUAAUAAGAUUACGAUUAAAAUGUAAAUGUCCCUGGAUACAUAGUCAUGUGUGGUGCUGUUUGAAAGCUUAGAAUCUGAACUUUUCAGAGAACUAUUGUAAAUCACAUUUGCCUUUAUGUUACACAAAAUAACAAGAUAAGACCUGAAAACCUAAGUGUCAAAAAUGAGUGCAACCUGAGGUAAUAAUGUAGAAAUAUGAAUAUGAGUAAAAUGUGUAGCAUAAAGCACUAGUAUAGACAAGCCAUGGAUCAAAUGAAAGCUCUCCUUCUCAGGAAUGCAGUGAUGUAGUAUUUUGUGACCAUAACAACACAGUUAAAAAAAUUAUGAAAAGAAUUACAAAGUGAAAUAUGAUAUCUGGAAGACAGCAUAGACGAACAUCUCAUGUCUGCUCUAAUCACAGCUUCUUUAAACCCCAAGUAGCCAAAAACUCUUUUUCAGUUACCUGUUACUUUAGAUUGUUUUUGUCAAAAUGAGCCACUUUUCUACUUGUCUUUGAGCUUGCUUGGGUAAAUCAAUGUUAUAUCUCAGAUGUCCAGAACAAAAUAUGAAGUCUGGCAGAAAAGGCAUGAAAAACAAAUCAUGGCUAAAUAUGUUCUUGAUUACCAAUAAUAAAAUAUUAUACAUCACAAAGCUGAGGAUCUCAGGUUCCCUAUCUGUCACUCACUCGAUGUUGUGUCGAUGUAGUGACACUAGGGGUCACUCUUGGGAGCCCGAGACACCUCUGGUCUUUGAUAAAAGGCCAAUGAAAAUUGGCGAGUGGUAUUUGCAUACCACUCCCCCGGACAUACGGGUAUAAAAGGAGCUGGUAUGCAACUACUCAUUCAGAUUUUCUCUUCGGAGCCGAAUGGUCAUGCUCACUGAACUGAAUCCCCAUGACUGUUCAUUCACCUCUGCUGGAUCUGAUGGCGCAUUUCAGUGGCUUCUCCCCCCUCUGCACUGGUGCACUGCAGAGAAUGUCCCUGGGUGCUUCGGCAGAAAUAGAGUAUAUUUCUCUAAAAGAGCAUAUAUUUCUAAAAGAGCGGCACACACGGAACAUCUUUUUAAAGACGGGUCUUUAAAAAUAAAGGUGUGUUAUUCCUGGUUGCGCUUGUUAUCUCUCGCCUUCUGACAGUCACGAUCACUGUCUUUCGUGUCUGGGCACUGCUCACGCGGAGACAGCGUUCGUGGAUGGGUCAUGUACUCAUUGCGAGAACAUGUCCAUGGCAACGAUGCGAUCGCGGCUUACCUUCGUAAGAAAGCAAGCCACCCCAGAGGCUCCCCGCCUCGGUCCUUCUGCCCACAGGUAUGAGGCCAGCACAGCUAGCACUGGGGGCGAUUUGGGGACCCCAAUGGGACCACCUCCGCCAGGUAUCCCCCCACGGACCUCCCAUUCCCCAGCAUGCUCGUCUGCCCCGAUCGGGCUUCUGGAUGAGUCCGCCGGCUCAUCUCACGGCGAGUUCGACCUCUUAUUUGGAGCCCGCGAAGGUGAUGAGCUCUCGAGCACAGCAUUGGAGAGCGGGCUCGUCCAGUCGGACGCGGAAGCCUCAGCUGGGCUCCUCCCUUCGGGUGUGGUCGCCCAGUCACAGGCUGACACAGAGAUGACGACAUGCUUUCCCGGGCAGCCGUGAGAGUCGGGCUAGAGUAGAACCCUCUGCUCUCCCCUGAACACUCGCGGCUCCAUGAUUGGUUCCUGGGCUCACUGAAGAACUUUUUACUUCCCGGUCCCGAUCUUUCAGCUUCCCCGCCCUCACUACCCUCGAUGGUGGGGCAGCCAAGGGCUAUUCGGCAAUCCCCCCAGUGGAUAAAGGUGAUCGCCACCUGGCGCGGGCACCCAAAGCUCCCGUCCAAGGCCUGUAGGUUUAUGUCGUCUCUGACGGCCAAGGCCUAUGGUGCCGCUGGACAAGCCGCCUCUGUCCUGCACUCCAUGGCUCUCCUGCAAGUCCACCAAGCCAAGGCACUAAAAGUUCCGCCCUGGGAUUGAUGCAGGAGCUGCGCUCGGCGGCCAACCUCGCUCUCCGGGCGACAAAGGUCAUGCCGUGGUCUCUCGGGCAGGCGAUGUCCACCUUGGUGGUCCAGGGGAGCCACCUUUGGCUCAACCUGGUCGAGAUGGGAGAGGCCGACAAGGCACGGUUCCUUGCUGCCCCCAUUUUCCAAGUUGGUCAGUCCGGUGACACCAAGGACUUUGCCCAGCAGUUCUCAGCGGUGAAGAAGCAGACGGAGGUUAUCCGGCACAUCCUGCCCCGGCGCAGCUCAAGAUCCCGUACUCUGUCUGCUUGUCGCCAAGGGCGUCCCCCUGAGGUGACUGCACCGGCUCCACCGCAGCACGUCCCUGCGGCCCAGCCCCAGCGUGGAGCCCACCGCAGGAAGCAGACGCCACCCGUCUUGCGGCUGCCAAGAACCCGCGAAAGGCUUCGGCUAUUUCCACUUAAAUACUCCCCCCUCUCUCUGGGCGAGGUGUGGCCUCUGCGGUGUCCUCCCCUUGGGAGGGACACCACCCCGACUAGACCUGGGUGGCCCAGUCGGAUAAUCCCCCUUUUUUUUAGGGAGUGGGAAAAAAGGGGAUAAGAGGCCACGACUGGGCUAGCCCGUCUCUAUCUUUUGGGUAGUCGACUUGUCCCAAAGGGCCGUUCGACACUCAUAACACUGUUGGGGAAGGUUACGUGUCGGCCUGGUGCGCUGGCUACGAGGCACACAGUGGUCUGCCCGUCACACACCGCCAGUUCACGUAACACAGUUCAGCCAGUUGCGGCGUUUUUUAUAGGGACCCCUAGUGUCACUAUAUCGACACAAUGUUAUGCAAGUAACCAGGAUGUUUCCAACAGCACCUAGAUUAAGUUUCCAGUCCACUCAAAAAACUAGCUAUUCAAGAAAAGAGUGGGAAAGGUGCAUGAGAUCACAAAAUAAACUGAAUGCCUAAGGACGAGCACAUGGCGAGUGCUUAGCUGUGUUAGAGCACCACCUGCAUUUCAGAUCCGUUUAUUGUGAUACAAGAUGAUAUAGGAAAAUGUGUUGUCCUAGUACUUUCUGCCAUCUAAUGGAAUGAACUAACACUUUUUGUAUGGGCAUAGAGCAAACAGAGCUUGAAUCACAGGCCUGCAAAGAUGUAGAAAAAUAAAUAAAUAAAAAAAUUAUCAUCAUAAGAUUGUAAAUAUAUACAAUUUUAUUUAUUAAUUAUUGGAAUAUUUUGUUUUAUAUACUGUACAUUUGAGUGCAAUUAGUCCACUAUAUUUUCAGUGUAAAAAUUGCAGGCGGCAGCCAAAAUAUGCAGAGAGCGCAAGGGGUUAUAACUGACUUGUACAAUUAUUUCAAUAUUGGAAUACUUUUUGCUAUGCCAGUUCAAUGUUAAGAGACAACAAUAAGUAAGCCAUUUGUAAGUUUACUUCCUAUAGACUGUAAACUCUGUUGAUCUGUGGAUCUUCAAAACAUUUAUAUUUGUUUGAGCAGUCUGCACAAGGAGAUCUGCAAUACCUGUAAAUAGCUAUCCAUUUGCAUUUCCAUUAAUCUCAAUGCCCGCUGCUCGACUGGCAUGUGACCCCAGGAUGUGUGCAACAUUCUUGCUGCCAUCUUUGCACAUGGGCACUCAGUUCUGUAUACAGGUUCUAAGUCAAUCGUCUCAGCCAUAAACAUCUUUUGACUAAUCACUCUAAAGCCGCAGGAAAAUGACAUCCUGACAUGCUGACAAGGCUGACUGGCUGAUGAUACCACAAGAACACGUGCAAUAACAAGCAAUUCACAAGCGACUAACAAAUGAUGUUAAUUUUAAGGGGUGGUAGAAAUGUUUGGGAAACCUGUUUGGAAACAAUUCAAUUCAGUUUGCCACUAGUGGCACAGAAA